rnacentral:lncRNA from 1 species
UCGGUUGCUGGGCCGCGACCUUGAGGCCCAGUGACGCGCGCGCGCGGUCGGCCGGAAAAAAGAAAAAGGGCCGGCGUGUCGUGCAAGCCCAGUGAAGCAGGCUGGAGUCGCGAAACAAAAGAGGAAAAAGAAAAAAGGGCCGUUGGGCCGGUGUUGGGCUGCAGAAGAGGAAAGAAAAAGAAAAUCGGCCCGCGGGGCCCGUCGGGGAGAGGAGAUAAGGCCGGCGGGUAGAAGGAAUAGGGAAAGGUGGGGUCCGCGCCAUGGGGCCCAGCGUGCGUGAGAGAGGGUAGAGAAGGGUUGAGUAAGAAAAGUAUUCCGGGUGAUUUUCGGGAAAAAUUAGGUUUCCUUUAGUAAUUUAAUUCGUUUAAAUCCGUUUUACACCAUUUUAAUCACAGAAAUUUGUAGGAGUGUCCAAAAUUAGUGAAACCAAUUUGGUUAGGCUUGUUUUAUUUUCCUUUAUGCAUUAAAAUUUUUACACCCUAGGAAAAUAAUAAAAAUUCGGGUAUUUAUUUAAUGCCUUCCUUUUAAGGUAAUUAAAUAAAUACUUAAUAUUUAUAAAAUGUAUAAAAAGUGAAUAACACUUUAUUAAUCACAAAUAAUUCUUAACCCAUAGGAAAUUAGAUUUUCAAGUUAGGAAAUAAUUACCACUUUUUCUAAAAUUAAAAGAAAACGCUAUAAGGAGGGUUAAAUAAGAAAAAUAAAAGUGUAAGUUAAUCUUUCUAGAUUUUUGUGUGUUGGCUUGCAACUUUAUCAUGAUAAGUCGUAUAGUCCUUGUUGGCUUACAACUUUAUCAUGAAGGAAAGUUGUAUAGUCUAUUAUUCAAAAAUUUUGCAUUCUAACCCCCUGCAUGUAUUAUGCCGUAGAUUCCGAAGCACCGGAAGAAGAUUAUUGGGAAUUCUCAGAAGGACCUUCGGAAUCCGAAGAAGUGUUUGAGUUUGUUCCCUGUGAAGCUAACCCGUCAGCUUCUACUAAUCUUUUUAGCGAACAAGGCAAGCCCCGGUGCAUUUAUACCUAUCUAUUUUGGAGUCGUUAUUUCAUGUGACUAGUUGUAGGUUAAUUGCUAUAUGUAUGCACUAAGUCUAGGAGUUGAUUGAAACCUAUUCUUGUGUAUGAUCAUGCCUUGAUUUAAGGACAUCUUUGCCACUUGUUCAAACCUUAGAAACUACCCAAGUCUAGAAUUGCUUACUUGCUUACAUGCUUGGUUUACCAACCUUAAGGAAAACUCUUAAGUCAUACAUGUUGCUUAUGAAGGAUAGUUUGAAAAGUGAAAACGGACAGAAGCUAGAGAUGUAGUUCUGUCUGCUAGAUUAAUCUGAUUAAGGCCCGAUUCGUGUCUUAACUUUUGAUCAAGUGAUAAGCAUCUGAUCACUUACUGGGUAUGGGACAAGUAAAGCCCAGUAGAUUAGUAAAUUCUAUGAUCAGGAAUGCUUCGUACCCG